UACGAAGGGGGCUAGCGUUGUUCGGAUUUACUGGGCGUAAAGCGCACGUAGGCGGAUCGUUAAGUCGGGGGUGAAAUCCUGGAGCUCAACUCCAGAACUGCCUUCGAUACUGGCGAUCUUGAGUCCGGAAGAGGUGAGUGGAACUCCUAGUGUAGAGGUGGAAUUCGUAGAUAUUAGGAAGAACACCAGUGGCGAAGGCGGCUCACUGGUCCGGUACUGACGCUGAGGUGACGGAAAGCGUGGGGGAGCAAACAGG
rnacentral:rRNA from 1 species